rnacentral:rRNA from 1 species
GCUCAGAUUGAACGCUGGCGGCAUGCCUUACACAUGCAAGUCGAACGGUAACAGGUCUUCGGACGCUGACGAGUGGCGAACGGGUGAGUAAUACAUCGGAACGUGCCCAGUCGUGGGGGAUAACUACUCGAAAGAGUAGCUAAUACCGCAUACGAUCUGAGGAUGAAAGCGGGGGACCUUCGGGCCUCGCGCGAUUGGAGCGGCCGAUGGCAGAUUAGGUAGUUGGUGGGAUAAAAGCUUACCAAGCCGACGAUCUGUAGCUGGUCUGAGAGGACGACCAGCCACACUGGGACUGAGACACGGCCCAGACUCCUACGGGAGGCAGCAGUGGGGAAUUUUGGACAAUGGGCGAAAGCCUGAUCCAGCAAUGCCGCGUGCAGGAUGAAGGCCUUCGGGUUGUAAACUGCUUUUGUACGGAACGAAAAAGCUCCUUCUAAUACAGGGGGCCCAUGACGGUACCGUAAGAAUAAGCACCGGCUAACUACGUGCCAGCAGCCGCGGUAAUACGUAGGGUGCGAGCGUUAAUCGGAAUUACUGGGCGUAAAGCGUGCGCAGGCGGUUAUGUAAGACAGAUGUGAAAUCCCCGGGCUCAACCUGGGAACUGCAUUUGUGACUGCAUGGCUAGAGUACGGUAGAGGGGGAUGGAAUUCCGCGUGUAGCAGUGAAAUGCGUAGAUAUGCGGAGGAACACCGAUGGCGAAGGCAAUCCCCUGGACCUGUACUGACGCUCAU